AAAUGCAAGAAAACAAACACCUUUUGUAUUACUUUAAAUCCACUGGGGCAUGUGAAGGAUAAAAGCUUUUGUGUUUCAAACUGCAAUUUCAAACCGAACUGCGUAAAAACAUGGCGUAGAUGAAACAAAUUUUUGAUCUGAGAAAAAAAAAUUAGGAGUCGGAAAGCCACGUGCACACAAAAAUAAAUAUUUGUCGACAAAACCCCAGUAGAAAUCAAAAGAACAAGGGUCUAAAGAUAAAUUAUUUCAAAUAUGGAGAAGGAAGGCAAUAUCGAUGAACUUGGGAAAUCAUUUUCUAGAAGUUCUGUGGCUAAUAAUGAUAGCUCCGCUUCGACAAAAACAGACGUUGAGUGUGGGAGCUUUUCCUCAGAAAAGUUCACAGUCAUUGAUGCAAAAGAUGAAUAUGACGACAAUCUACAA